UGGCGGCGUGCUUAACACAUGCAAGUCGAACGGAGCGCCGGACACGGACUAUUUCGGUAGGAAGCGUGCGGAGGCUUAGUGGCGGACGGGUGAGUAACGCGUGGAUAACCUGCCGCAUACCGGGGGAUAACAGCUGGAAACAGCUGCUAAUACCGCAUAUGCCCGCAGUGCUGCAUGGCACAGCGGGGAAAACUCCGGUGGUAUGCGAUGGGUCCGCGUCUGAUUAGGCAGUUGGCGGGGUAACGGCCCACCAAACCGACGAUCAGUAGCCGGCCUGAGAGGGCGGACGGCCACACUGGGACUGAGACACGGCCCAGACUCCUGCGGGAGGCAGCAGUGGGGAAUAUUGCACAAUGGGGGAAACCCUGAUGCAGCGACGCCGCGUGAAGGAAGAAGUAUCUCGGUAUGUAAACUUCUAUCAGCAGGGAAGAAAACAGACGGUACCUGACUAAGAAGCCCCGGCUAACUACGUGCCAGCAGCCGCGGUAAUACGUAGGGGGCAAGCGUUAUCCGGAUUUACUGGGUGUAAAGGGGGCGCAGACGGCCAUGGCAAGCCCGGUGUGAAAGGCAGGGGCAUAACCCCUGGACUGCACUGGGAACUGUCAGGCUGGAGUGCCGGAGGGGUAAGCGGAAUUCCUGGUGUAGCGGUGAAAUGCGUAGAUAUUAGGAGGAACACCAGUGGCGAAGGCGACUUUCUGGACGAUAACUGACGUUGAGGCACGAAAGUGUGGGGAGCAAACAGGAUUAGAUACCCUGGUAGUCCACACUGUAAACGAUGGAUACUAGGUGUAGGGUGUAUUAAACAUUCUGUGCCGCCGCAAACGCAUUAAGUAUACCACCUGGGGAGUACGACCGCAAGGUUGAAACUCAAAGGAAUUGACGGGGGCCCGCACAAGCAGUGGAGUAUGUGGUUUAAUUCGAAGCAACGCGAAGAACCUUACCAGGGCUUGACAUAUACAGGAAUAAGUAAGAGAUUACUUAGCUCUUCGGAGUCUGUAUACAGGUGGUGCAUGGUUGUCGUCAGCUCGUGUCGUGAGAUGUUGGGUUAAGUCCCGCAACGAGCGCAACCCCUGUCCUUAGUUGCCAGCACGUAAAGGUGGGAACUCUAAGGAGACUGCCGGUGAUAAAUCGGAGGAAGGUGGGGAUGACGUCAAAUCAUCAUGCCCUUUAUGUCCUGGGCUACACACGUACUACAAUGGCCGUGACAGAGAGAAACGAAGUAGUGAUGCAGAGUAAAACUCAAAAAACGGUCUCAGUUCGGAUUGAAGGCUGAAAUUCGCCUUCAUGAAGCUGGAAUUGCUAGUAAUGGCAGGUCAGCAUACUGCCGUGAAUACGUUCCCGGGCCUUGU
rnacentral:rRNA from 1 species